AUGUUUAUUAUCAGAAAAUUCAAACAAGUACGGUCAGUGGCGGGUCCAUCGCUGCAUGGCAUCCCGCUGCACCCAGGAGCCGCAGUGCUUGGGGGCACGCGGGACGUGAGGGGAGCAGGUUACGAUGGGCUUCCUGCAACACCUGGAGAUUGGCGCUCGCUGCCGCCCUUCUGGAAGGUUCCACGCAGGGUGGGAACGCUGGCGGUGAGCCCAAACCUGAACGUGAAAGUUCUUAACAGUCGCUCAGAAGCAUGGAAAACCACUACUAAUAUAACAACAUUCAAUGAAUGUAACACCUGCGCUUUUCAUCAACGACCUUAAGCAGCACUUAAUUUUUCAUGUUUGCAGCAGACUUUCCACAACAAAAGCAGUGCUGAACUAUGAUCUAUUAUAUUUAUACAACUAUUGUACCGAAUAUCACUUAUUUACUAAAAUAAAAUUACCCUCUUCCCAAAUUCUUAUCUAUCU
rnacentral:lncRNA from 1 species